rnacentral:lncRNA from 1 species
UUUUAUCCUUUCUUAGUUCAUCCAUGGUUCACGUGAAAGAACCCUCUAUUUACCGACUACCCUCCAUACCCUCCAUCUCCUUCCUUUUUUUGUCGCCUGCAAACAUCUAGCACCAGGUAUAAAUCCAUUUGUCUUUCAUAUGUGAAGAUGGAUUAUUUGAAGAGGUAAGCUUCCAUGGAAACUUAAUGUCACCUUUAUUGUUCCCUCUUGUCAAGUAGGUGUCAUGGAUAUUUCCGAUGACCCGAAACCUGACGAACAUAAUGAAGGUGAAAAACUUGAUUUGGGGAUUUUGGUUUUUUUACAAGCCAAUUUUAUUGAAUCUUCUUCCUUUUGGGUUUCUAUGUACCUGAAGUUUCUCAACUCCGUCUUCAUUCUUAAUUAAAGUGAAAACCUGUAGGAUUUAGAAGGCGAAAAGUUCUUGAUUUGGUGAUGGUGGAACAAGAAAUCAGAAUGCAAAAAUGAGGGUUUUUUUUUUUUUUUUUUUUUUUUUUUUUUUUUUUACAUCUGAUGGAUUCAUUUCUAAAGGAAGAAAUCAAUUUUGAUGUGAAAAGUUAAGAGGCGUUUUUGCAACUGGUUUGGAUUCGAUUAAGAAGCAAGAACUUGGUUGAAGAGUAUUACAGGUUUUGGUUUCAUCCACCGUUGUGAUCGGGGAUAAAAACUGUGGAAGAUGAUUCGUUUUUUGUAAACGAUUUCAGAUUUUGAUUUCAGGUAUCAAUGUUCAUUUACAUGGGUUUUUGUUUAUUAACGAUGCUUUGAUGAUUAGCAACUGAAAUUGUUUUUAGAUGGUGAAUAUUAGACGAUGGUAGCCGAAGAUUUCACCUGAGAUGGUAACAAUGAAAAGGGAACUAGUAGGAACGUAAAUAGUGGGUUGGGGUGAGGUAAAGAUGGAAAGUUGUGGAAUCUAGUGUUUUCCGAUGAAGUCAAGUGUUUUCUGGUGGAGUCUGUAUUUUCCGGCGACUGAAUAGGAGGCACAUUUUCCGGCGACUAAAUAGGAGGCAGGGGAGGGGAGGAGGGUGCAGUGUGGGGUCCUUGAAUCAAACCAUUAUACAUUUACUUAAUAUUCUUUCCAUAUUUAAUUAAUAUUUUUUUAGUUAAUUGAUAAUUUCAAAAA